AUGAGCUCAAUCCACGAAGAGGAGCUUCUGGCAGAAGACGACGGACUGUUACUCAAGGAAGACUUCGACGAUGACACGUUAUUGCUCGGAGGUGAAGACGAUCUCCUGGGAUCCGAUGAGCCGUCCGUGCCUCCUCAAGGAGACGUGUCCGAGCCGGCCGCCAAAGCUCCGGAAGUCCAGGAGCGAGAAAAACGAAAACACCCGAAGUUGAGCCAGAACAGUAAACUCAGCGCUCAAAGGAUGACAAUGGAUAUCUCGCUCCAGGUCGUUGUGAACCAAGAUAGGAUUCGGGAGCGGGACAGAGACGACGAUGAUGAGGAGGAGGAACAGAAAUCCGGAAGGAGUCGUUUCCAACAGGAACGCGUGAUUUCCACGCGGGGUGGCAAGAAUCGCAAUGGGAUCCCCGAGUCACUGGAGAACGUCGAAAUCCCUACGAUUGGCAUGCAUCAUUCAUCGAUGGGCUUGAGGAGCGGAAGAGGCCGAGGGAUGGGUGGUCCUGGAGGACCUCUUGGACGUUUUCGACACGAUCGGCCCCGACCGUAUGGGCCUCGGAUCAUGAGAGACGGACCGCCUCGACCCAGACACACAAGACCUUUGCUGCAACAUGCCCCGCAUGGCUAUCCCCAACAUCCUGGACCAGUUCCGCCGCCUCCGGUACCCCCGAACUUCCCUAACAUACCGCCGCCGAAUUUCCUUCCCCCCCCGAACGGUAUGCCUCCUCCGCACAGAAUGCCGUAUCCCCCCCAAAAUCCUUGUCCACCCCUGCUCCCCCCUCCAACUUUGAACGUCCUCCCCCCAGGCUAUCCAAUGCCCCCUCCCCCUGCCCAUAGCAUGCCCCCGUCUUUCCCACCCCCUCCCAAUAUUCAACCUCCUCCUCCCAUGAUGUCGGUGCCGCCGCCCCCGAUGGUCAGACAUCAGCCCCCGCCGAUGGUAAUGGCGCAGCAUAAGGGACAAAAAAUAUAUAUCAACAAAAAUUUCCGACCACCUCCGCCAAACAUGGGAGGCUUCCCCCCUAUGUUCGAUCCCAGCGUGCCCCCGCCCGUGAUAGGGAGCCAUCAAGGCGGUUACGGAUCUCCCCCGACUUCUUGGCGAAGUCCUCCGCGACAUAGGAGUCCUCCUCGGAACCGCGAGCGGUCCCGAUCGAGGGAACGUGACUACAAAUCUCGGAGAGAUCACAGGGAUCAUUCGAGGGAGUACGAAAGGGAAUACGAGAGGGAGUCGAGGGAUCGAGAUUAUCUUAGAGAUCACCACAGGGAGCGACGACCAUCGCGGGAGGACUCCAGCACAAAACCAAAAAAAGAGCCAGGUUCGUCCUUCCGCCCCAUGAUCCGUUCUAGGUUCCGUCUCCGGGAACCAUCCGCAGAACUGACGAGAAAUCCCGAUUGGGUUAUUUUCUACCCUAUUCGUAAUUGAUUUGAUAAUCACGCAGACGAGUACGAACUCCAAGUGAUGCAGCAGAAGAAGGAACGUGAGAAAGUCCUGAAGAUGAAGGAGGAACGCCGACGUCAAGCCGCUCGUGAAAAACUUGGCAAAGACCAGCAACAACCAGGCUUACAGUCACAGGACCAGGAAACGAAGGAGCAGAAACAAAGUCGGCAGGUGAUUCUGCACAGAAUAGAUGAUCAUUUGGACGAGCGCACUCUGAAAAUCGCUUUCGAGGAUUAUGUUAUUGAGCGGAUCCGGGUCAUUCGAGAGAAGCAUGCCGCAUUUGUGUUUUUCCGAAACUCGACAGACGCUGCCGAUUUCUGCAGACAACACCCCAAGUUUACUGUGGGUCCACACGUUCUUGACACAACGUAUGCCAUCGAACUUGCCAAGCGGCGAACGGAAGGAGCCCGCUAAGUGUUUCGCUGUGGAAAAUCCAUACAACUAGAUAGGCAGUAAAGAAACGAUGGCGUGCGAUGAAGAGGCGCUUCGGGCUCUUGGUCCCCCAUCAUCAACAUCAUCACGAUGUGGAUGAUGACAAAAUGCGGUAUGCCAUCGGAAGACCGAAUCGCCAAUCCGUCGCCGCUCUGG